GCUAGAAAAAGACACAACAUACAUAAAUAUUAAAUUGUUAAUAAUUAAAAAGGUAAUUUAUGUUGGAUGAUAUGAAGCAAUCUGUAUUUAAUAUUAUAUUAUUUAGUCAAAAUAAAAGUAAUUCAUUUAAUCUCUAUUAAUCUCAAACAAUAAUGAGAACUGUCGCAGAUUAAUUUUUCUGAUUGAUUCAUUAAUGAAUAAAUCGACUGUUGGAGCUCUGCUGACGGGAGAUAUUAAAGGAAAUGAGUCAAACUUCAUAAUCCCCUAAAAUCUUCCAUCUGCUUCCAGUCGUCAUCUC